GGCUGUAUCUGUGGUGGGUUAAUGUAGUGUUGCUGUAUCUGUGGUCUGUUAAUGUAGUGUUGCUGUAUCUGUGGUGGGUUAAUGUAGUGUUGGUGUAUCUGUGGUGGGUUAAUGUAGUGUUGCUGUAUCUGUGGUGGGUUAAUGUAGUGUGGCUGUAUCUGUGGUGGGUUAAUGUAUUGUUGCUGUAUCUGUGGUGGGUUAAUGUAGUGUUGCUGUAUCUGUGGUGGGUUAAUGUAGUGUGGCUGUAUCUGUGGUUGGUUAAUGUAGUGUUGCUGUAUCUGUGGUGGGUUAAUGUAUUGUUGCUGUAUCUGUGGUGGGUUAAUGUAGUGUUGCUGUAUCUGUGGUGGGUUAAUGUAUUGUUGCUGUAUCUGUGGUCGGAUAAUGUAGUGUGGCUGUAUCUGUGGUGGGUUAAUGUAGUGUGGCUGUAUCUGUGGUGGAUUAAUGUAGUGUGGCUGUAUCUGUGGUGGGUUAAUGUAGUGUCGCUGUAUCUGUGGUGGGUUAAUGUAGUGUGGCUGUAUCUGUGGUGGGUUAAUGUAGUGUUGCUGUAUCUGUUGUUGGUUAAUGUAGUGUUGCUGUAUCUGUGGUGGGUUAAUGUAGUGUUGCUGUAUCUGUGGUGGGUUAAUGUAGUGUUGCUGUAUCUGUGGUGGGUUA
rnacentral:lncRNA from 1 species